rnacentral:lncRNA from 1 species
AGUCACAACUUCGCAUUGUCCACUCUUCUCAGCGUGGCCCUGGCUCCUUUAAACAUGCACACGGGCUCGCUUUUCAGGAAUUUCCUACAGUGAAACCCUCGCCCUCCAGGGCUACCCUGGCAGCUGUCUUUCAGAGGACCUGGAUUGAUGGAGCUCCC